rnacentral:rRNA from 1 species
GAUGAACGCUGGCGGCGUGCCUAAUACAUGCAAGUCGAGCGAACAGAUAAGGAGCUUGCUCCUUUGACGUUAGCGGCGGACGGGUGAGUAACACGUGGAUAACCUACCUAUAAGACUGGGAUAACUUCGGGAAACCGGAGCUAAUACCGGAUAACAUAUUGAACCGCAUGGUUCAAUAGUGAAAGGCGGCUUUGCUGUCACUUAUAGAUGGAUCCGCGCCGGAUUAGCGAGUUGGUAAGGUAACGGCUUACCAAGGCAACGAUGCGUAGCCGACCUGAGAGGGGGGUCGGCGACAGUGGAAGUGAGACACGGUCUAGAGUCCUACGGGAGGCAGCAGUAGGGAAGGGUGCGCAAUGGGCGGAAGCCUGACGGAGCAACGCCGCGCGAGUGAAGAAGGUCUUCGGAUCGUAAAACUCUGUUAUCAGGGAAGAACAAAUGUGUAAGGAACUGUGCAUAUCGUGACGGUACCUGAUCAGAAAGCCACGGCUAACUACGUG